GCUCCCGGCUCCUCUCUGCAGGAAAUCCUGCUCCACGGGGUCGGGAGAGCUGUGAGGAGGCCCAGGCAGGGGGAGGCCACAGCCGGGGAAAGUGGACCCCAGAGGCCCAGAGCUGAGAGCCAUCUGCAGAGGGGGUGUCAGUCACGGGUCAUGGCUGUGAGCCUGCGACUGGUUGGGGUAAGGAAAGGAAAGAAAGCAGCUGCUCACCUGGCUAGCCUCCCUGUGGAGAUGCCCUGAAAGGCCUCCGUGGCCGAUGCUGUGGCCGAUGCUGUGGCCAGCGCUGGCGCUGGGUCUCUGGCCGGCUCACCUCCCAAGGCCCGGAGGUGACCCACACUGCCUUCUCAUUUGACCAUUCAACGACUGUUUGUCGAGUGCCCACUGCGUGCUAGAGCCUGUGCAGAGGCGCUGCUGCUGCUGCUGCUGCUGCUGCUGCUGCUGCUGCUGCUGCUGCUGCUGCUGCGGUCCCGCCUCUGGGUCAGCUGACUCAGUCUUGCAAGCCUCUGCUGUUUUGCUCCAGAGCUCGGCUUCUAACAAGUCAGUACCUGUUCCCGGACCCUUUUUCAAGAUUGAACUUUGGAUGGAUUUGGAUUUUCACUUCAGCUGGACUCUAAUUCAUCUGGAAUGACUUUGAGGAAUGGUAUCAGAGGUGGCCUUCUGCAUUGCCCAGGUGUGGCACAGGAACUCCCGGGGGCAGCGCUGGGAUAAGGCAUUCUUAAUUUGAGGGACAGGCUUCUGGUGUUCCAGAGGUAGGUUCUCUUGUCGCAGCUCAUCUGAAAUAUUUUUUAAAACGUUGUUCAGAAAAUGCCAGAACUAAAACCAACUCCUGUUCUUUCUUUUUUAAAGAAAAGAGUGGAUGCCUUGGCUGCAGGGCAGCCUGGGCAGGGUGGGUGCUCUUGUGGGCAAACCCUUCUGUACAACUUGAUUCUUGACGUUGCAUGACUUACUCUGGUUUUGCUUAAAACACCAACAGCGAGAGCCAGAGCUCGGGGUUGGGGAUUUAGCCCUGUGGCAGAGCGCUUGCCUAGCAUGUGCAAGGCCCUGGGUUCGGUCCUCAGCCCUGUAAAAAACAAUUACUAAAAAAGUA